ACAGCGCACCAGCCUCCGAGCCACAAGUUCAGCGUUGCUGCUGCUGCCAGAGGCCCAGAAACAGCUGUUCCCUCCCCCUACACAUCCCCGCGCAGGCUUUGGCUCUCUCAAUGACAUUCCUAAAUGGCUGUGGCUAGAGCCCUAAGUGUAAGCACUGGAGAGCCAGGGCCAGCCCCGAAAUCAGGAGGUAAGGCCCUGGGGCAGCUGGCCCCGCACCAAGUGCACCAAGUGGCUGGCAGCAGCACACGGCCACCUGGAGCAAAGCACAGAGGCCUUUCUCUCCUGUCCUCAGUCCCUGGAAGCAGCAGGUUCCUAUCUGUGACCUGAAGGAACGCAAGGGAGAAUCGUGGCUGCGCUGCUCCUAUGCACUGGACAUGGGGAGGCACCAAUGUCCAGCUUGUGGAUCAAGACCUGAAGGGCACAAAGGGCAAGGUGUCAGAGCUGGGAUGCUGUCCUGAUGACCAAAAGCUUAGGUGGACACAGAGCCCUGGGCUCCCUCACGAGGAAUUCACUGGGGAACAAAAAAGUGAGGCACUGAGGACACCUGCAGUGUGAGUCCGGACAGGCACACUGACACAGCGGAACAGACGCGGCAGAACCGACACGGCGGAACGGACGCGGAUGAUGCAGAGCCCCUCUCAGGAUGGCCAGCCAUUCCUCCCCUGCCAGGGCCCACCACGCCUCCCAUGGAGAGACGGUGUCUGUUUCCCUCCUGUCGGAAUCUGGAUGGCCCAGAGACGACUCUGACAUCAGGAUGCUGGGACUGUGCCAAUUCCAGACCUAAACCUAAAGAAGCCUGGAAGAUUCUGCUGUGGCUCCUGGGAAUCCAGUCACCGAGCUGGAGGAAAGUCCAAGCUCCCGUGUGAGUGGGAGACACAUGGAGGGGCUCUGGGGAGAGGGCACAUGGAGAAGAGCAGAGAGGCCACUGACAGCACCAAUGCUCUGUGGCGAGGGACACACUUUCCUGGACCUCCCAGCCCAGCUGUGCGCUGCUGCACGCACGGCCUCAACCAACACCUCGGGGAGCAAGCGACUGCCUGUCCACCCAUCCAACUAAGAAAGACUGACUCACCGAUGACUUAUGCCACUGGGUUUUGGGGUGCUGUGCUGUGCAGCAGGAGAUAACUGAGACGGACGGUAAAACCAGGAAGAAAAGGAAGUGAUUCAGCCAAAGGUUCAGGAUGACGGUUCUCUCUGGAUGGGGGAGGGUAAGCAGGGGACUUCUGAGAUCCUAGAAGAGUUCUCUUUCUUUACUUGGAGUCCCCUGGAUUUAUUACUUAAACUAAAUGUGUAUAUUUCAUAUACAUUUACAUGAAAACAUUCCAAUUAUUUAAAAAAAUGUAUUUUUUUUUUUUUGUAGAAGCAGGAUUUCACCAUGUUGCCCAGGCUGGUCUCAAACUCCUGGGCUCAAGCAAUCUGCCUACCUUGGCCUUCUAAAGUGCUGGGAUUACAGGCGUGUGCUACUGCACCCAGCCAUUUUUCAAAAAUUUUAAUAAGAAAAAAGUGAGGUUCAGUUGCCAGACUUGAUCCAGUCAUGGCACAGAGUGUGCUGGCCAAGGCUGGGUUGCUCCCAACCACACUCCCGGCCAUGCUCACCAGGGCUGCCUUGAGGCCCAGCGUGGCAGCGAGGGUCAGAGGAGCUAAGAGAGCCGCCAAGGCUCCUGCGGGUGGGAUUUGGAAGGGCUGGCCCCAGAAAGCACAACCCAUUGCAUCUGUCUUGCAGUCCCAAAGCACCACAGACUGCUGAGUAAGCCAGGUUUCUGUUUGGGCCGUGAAAUCCACUCUGGUGCCAAGUUCCAUACUGCUGCCUCCACGACGCAGGGAUUCCAGUGGCGGCUGAGCCCCAUGGAAGCAGCAGAGCCUCCCGGGACAGGCCAAGCAGGACCUGGAUCUGGGUUCCACCAGCCACCCGCAGGUGAUCUCCAGCAAAGCUUCUCCAAUGGCCAACAGGGCUAAUGGUAUGACUUCCUUUGUGACAGGAUUAAAUUAAGUAACAUAGGUCAAGACCCUGUACAGAGCCUGGCAUAUCGUGAGCAUGCAACAAACUACUGUUGCCAGGAAGCAGAGAUGCAGAUGAUAGUUUCAUUUUUUUAGGCCAAAGUCUUUAUCAGAUGGUUUCUAUAUACCCCUUUGCACUGGGCACAUGGGGUACUUGACCUUGUUAAGAGGUGUAAUCAUAACCCAUCACUCCUAAAUGCAAUCUGGAAGAAUUCCAGAGCACAAUUAGCAUGAAGACAGGGAGGAAGUGAUGGGAGGGGCACUGAGUGGAGAGACAUCUAGAGCUAUUGUCUCUGCCAGGAGGCACUUUAUAUUGAACAACUGUUCUGUUAAACCCCAAGAGUGCUCCCAGACAAAGGCUGGAGUGCAUGCCCAGAGUGCUAAGUGGCCCCAGAGAGCACAGCUCCAUGUCAGAGUCAAAUGGGCACCUGUCAAACAUGAAAUGUUACCCAGGUUAUUAGUAUGCACUAAACUACCUGCAGGGUUUCCAAACUGCCACAAAGGGAAGCCAUUAAGCCAGGAAGCAACUGGCCUACCAUAGGGAGACACUGAUCUUUACAAACAACAGUCCCCGGCUCCCAGAACAAGCUGCUCCCAGCUCUGAGCCUUGACAUGAGCCAUCUUGUGUCCAGGUGCUUGAGGAACCUAAGGGCAGGUGAGAAGGAUCACCAUUUGGCUUCCAGUUGCUCAGCAUUCUUGAUUUUCUAGAAAUACAGGUGGAUCAACAUAAACUUCCAAAGGAGCCAGGCACGGUGGCUCACACCUGUAAUCCCAGCACUUUAGGAGGCCGAGGCAGGACUGUGGGAGGUCUGAGACAAGCCUAGGCAACAUGGUGAAACCCUGUCUCUACAAAAGAAAUUUUAAAAUUACCUGAGUGUGGUGGCACACACCUGUGGUUCCAGCCACUCGGGAGGCUGAGACAGGAGGACAGAUUAAGCCAGGAGGUCGAGGCUGCAGUUAGCUGUGAUUGUGCCACUGCACUCCAGCCUGGGCAAUGGAGCAAGACCCUAUCUCAAAAAAACAAAUAAAAAACUUCUGGCCAGGUGCGGUGGCUCACGCCUAUAAUCCCAGCACUUUGGGAGGCCGAGGCUGGCGGAUCACUUGAGGUCAGGAGUUUGAGGCCAGCCUGGCCAACAUGGCAAAGCCCAUUUCUACUAAAAAUACAAAAAUUAGCUGGGUGUGGUGGUGCGCACCUGUAGUCCCGGCUACUCGGGAGGCUGAGGCAGGAGAAUCACUUGAACCCGGGAGGCGGAGGUAACAGUGAGCCAAGAUCACACCACUGCACUCCAGCCUGGGCCACAGAGUGAGACUCUGUCUCCAAAAACAAACAAACAAACAAACAAAUGAAAACUUCCAAGGAAAUGGAAGUUCACACCAGGCCAGGCUUGUGAGCAUGAAACCUACCUGCCCAACCCCACCAACCACCCCAGUUUGACAACAUAUCCCUUUGAGUGCAAGACAUGGCAGAGAAGCAAAAAUGAACAAAACCAACCCUGCUGGCACUUUCCUCCUCACCCAGCAAACACUCUUCUUGUAUUAAGAUUGGAUUUCUCAAACUUUUAAAAUCACUUUCUCCUUUAGAUAAACAUAUAAAUCUUGGCUCCUCCCGACAACCUGAUUCUGAUAUUUCCACUGGAGAGUACCCAUUCCCAGCAUAAGAAUCACUGCUAUCUCUACACAGUCCCACCAGCCAAGGUUCAGCAGUAUUUUCGGAAGUUUGUAUUAUAAAAAAACAGAUUUUUUUAAAUCUUAAAAAUGUCUAAAUAUAAAAUGCAGUUAUGAUGCUGACUUUGCUUUUCAAACUAUACAACUACCGCUAUCUUUCAGAUUUAGGCCAAGUGCAAUGGCUCACACCUGUAAUCCUAGUACUUUGGGAGGCCAAGGCUGGAGGAUCACUUUAAAGAGGCCAGAAACUUGAGACCAGCCUGGGCAACAUAGUGAGACCCCAUGUCUACAAAAUAAAAAUUAGAAUAUUAGCUGGGCGUGAGCUAUGACUGCACCACUGCACUCCAGCCUAGGUGACAGAGGGAGACCCUAUCAACAUCCACAACUAAAGUUUAGCCACACUUUUGAGGGGGCAGACACCCCUCUGCCUGAUCCCUGAUGGACCCCACUGCUCUAGGACUAUGCACAAAAGGGAAGGCUGGCAGGCCCUGAAAAAGAGCUGUCCAGGAUUCCAGCAGCCCAGGCCAGCUUAGAAUCCACUGUGCUAGUACGCAUACCAGGGACUUGUAAAGCUCAACACAGGGUAAAUUAAGGGGCCUUCCUGCCAAAAAGACAAAAUCACGACAUCUGGGACUUGGGCAGUACCUGAUCAUUCCCCAAGGCACACACACCCAUCAGCCACAAAUACUUCCCAAGUGUCAAGCAAUGGCACUGACACCACCUUAAAUGACACAGUGUGUCACCUCCUCUCUCCUACCAGUUUAAUAAACUCACUGCAAGGUGGGGCUACUUCUUAUUUCUUCCUUACAGCUGUUUAUAGCACAUUACCCAGAACCCUGCUUUCAAGUGGUUACAGAUCAAGUAGGGAACAGGCCUGUUGAGAGCAGAGAUCCCUGGCUUUUUUGAGAAUGACUAACACAAUGUCAAAGUAUUUCCUAGACCCUUAUGAAAUGACAGUUGUACUUCUGGUGCUUGUUAACUGAUAAAAUAAUAGAAAAAAGCCACUAUGAAAAAGUGAAUGUCCAUUCCAUUAAUCACAAAGGCAUUUAAGCAACAAUUCUAUGUACAUGGAUGAGAAAUUUCCCCAAUAUAGAGAAAAUCAGUGGGGUGAUACAGCUGCUCAUCUACUCAUAAUUAUUGCAUUGCCCUUUAGGGGUGCUCAGCCUAUAAAUUAGGAAACAGAUACAUAGAGAGAGAGGACUAAUGAAUUUCACAAAUGUCUAAUGAGAGUCUACCUUGUGUUUGUCCUAGGUACUAUGUUAGAACUUCAAACUGAGUGGGGAAGACAGGUAAUAAAUGGGUAUAAUAAACAAUGGCAGCUACCAAGUGCUGUGGAGAAACUAAAGCAAGCUGAGCAGAUCGAGAGGCAGGGGCUAUUUACUAUUUAAGAAAGGAGGCGGCCGGGCACAGUGGCUCACGCCUGUAAUCCCAGCACUUUGGGACGCUGAGGCGGGUGGAUCACGAGGUCAGGAGUUCAAGACCAGCCUGGCCGACAUAGUGAAACCCCAUCUCUACUAAAAAUAUAAAAAAUUAGCCGGGCAUGGUGGUGGGUGCCUGUAAUCCCAGCUACUCAAGAGGCUGAGGCAGGAGAAUGCUUGAACCUGGGAGGCAGAGGUUGCAGUGAGCCAAGAUCGUGCCACUGCACUCCAGCCUGGGUGACAGUGAGAGACUCCAUCUCAAAAAAAAAAAAAAAAAGUAAAAAUAAAGGAGGCAAGGGGGACCUCAGAGGAGGUGGCAUUUAAGCAAAGACCUGAAUGAGGUUUAAGAGGGAGCUAGGCCACUGUAUGCCCAGGGACCAUCACAGACAUGAGAAGAGCAGAUGCAAAAACCCUGAGGCGGGCAUGACUUUGGCACAGGGGCCGGUGUGUGUGGAGAGGAGGAGGUGUGUGGCACAGGGGCCGGUGUGUGUGGAGAGGAGGAGGUGUGUGGCACAGGGGCCGGUGUAUCUGGAGAGGAGCAGGUGUGCAUGAGAAUGACAGCAGCAGGGGCUGAGCUCGCCCAGGGUCUCAGGGACACAGCGGACUUUGGAUUUCUUCUAAGUGCACUGGGAUGCCUUGGGAGUGACGAAGAGUGACAGAAAAGAGCAGAAGAGUGAGGUUCCUAAAAGGCCCCUCUGACUGCAGUGCAAAGACAGACCGCAAGGAGGCUUAGUAGGGGCCCCAGUUAGGCUACUACAGUAGAGAAGAGACAGCAGUGGCCUCACCAAGGAGGUAGAAAACAGGCGAGAAGAGGUUAUAUUAGGAAUAUGUUUUGGCAGAGCCAACACCAUUAGCUGAUCAAGCAGAUGUGCGUUGUGACAGAAGGAAAGGAGUCAAGGAUGACACUAAGAUCUGUGCCCGGAGACACUGGCCCAGUGGCGGUGCCGCUUCCUGAGAGGAGGAGGAGUGGCAGGAGGAGACUCCGUGGGGGGAAUCAGAGUUCUGUUCUGGCCAAUUACAGCUGAGAUGUCUGCUUGUAGAGACGGUAAUUAAAGCCACAAGGUGGAACAAGAUAUCCAUGGAAGCAGGUAUUGGAUAAACAAGAGAAGAAACCAAUGGACUCAGAAUCCCAGCUCCAAACUUAACACAGUGACCUCAGGCAAGCAUCUCUGAGUUUUAGAUUGCUCACCUGUAAAAUAGGAAAACCACCAUAAAUACGAGUGUGCAAUGAGACAACUAGCAGAUAGGAAGUGUUGCCCAAAUAUUGGCAAAAGUAGAACUAGAUAUUACUUCUCUAACACAGCUCUGUGACUGAAACACAGUUAAAACAAAAGGGAAAUGAUGAACUAAUAAAACAAAAACAAACCAGAUGAUCCCAAGUGACCUCCCUGCACCAGGGGAGCACAGGGCCCCUGUCAAACAGGACAGCAGCUGGCCAAAGCCUUGGGAAGGCGGCUGACGGAAGCUAACAGAGCCACAGCCUGGUCCAAUACGACCAAAAAAAAAAAAAAAAAAACACACAGGUGUUGCUUCUCUCUGGCUGCAGCCUUCCACCGUCAGGCCUUUGUUAUGGAGCAACUCAGGGCAGAAGGCCUGGGAACUCAAUUUCAAUAUAGAGGGAUUCGGGGGUCCAAUCUCCAUAACUGGUGGGCUGAGGGGAUGGUGGAGUGGAGGUUUACUUCAAAGUCCACUGCAAAGUGCCAGGGGCCCUGGGAUAAGGCUGGGUCUGAGCCCCAGCCCCUUGACCUUCACUGGGGCAGAAGGACAGUGUGAUGAGUGCUGAAUGGGGGCUGCCGAAGCGCCAGCCUGGGACGACGUGACCACACCUAAAGACAGACGAAGGCAAGAAAGACCUUUGGGCAGGGGACAGCAUAAGCAAUGAUGGCUGAGGGGCCAGGUGGAGAAGGGGGAUCAUGCCCCAGCACACAGGAGGGAGGGGACAAAGUGAUGGGAAACACAGCUGGAGGGCCAGGCUGGGGCUAGGCACUUGGGCUGGGACCACCACACCAGGCCUCAGUGACAACCUUGGCAGUCAGGAGUCACACUGGGACUUGAAAGGGGGAGAUGAAGUCCCACUGGGCUGGACCCUUGGGAUAGGAAAAAUGGGAUGAUGUCACCCCCAGGUGGCCCUAGAAGGGUUUAGCUGGUGCCAAGAAUCCAACACACACUUACAUGAUUCUUUCUGGCAGCCUGAACCAGUGGCCUUCCCACUAAAUACUAUUAAAUCCUCUAAAAGUUUUAAGCACCUCUUCUUGGAGUAGCUCAAAGUCUCUUAAAAUUUAGUACCUGACCCUUCCCAGUGGAAGGUGGGCCAUGCCAUUUGUCCAAAACUAUGAGCCCAGGCUAAGAAUGUACACAUUUUACUUAUUUUUAAAAGACAACGUCCACAUUUCUGUAGGGUAUACACAAAACUGGUAAAGAGAAGCCCCUCAGGGGAGCAGGGGAAGUGGGGAAGGAGCUCAACUUUUCACUAUAUAUCCUUUCUGUGCUGUUUCACCACUUGUAAACACUAUCUAUUAAAAAAUUAAAACUGAGAAAGCUAAAGAACAAUGGAGAGAAAAAGAGGAGGGAAGGGAAGGAAGAGGGAGGAGAGGGAGGGAGGGAGGGAGGGAGGAAGGGAGGGAGGAGAGGGAGGGAGGAAAGGAGGAAGCAACAGGGAAGAGAAGGAGGAGAGGGAGAGAGUAGACAGAGGGAAGGAGGGAGGAGAGGGAGGAGAGGAAGGGAGGGAGGGAGGUCCCAGCUAUCUGGGAGGCUGAGGUGGGAGGAUCACUUAAGCCCAGGAGUUUUGAGGCUGCAGCAAGCUAUGAUCACACCACUGCACUCCAGCAUAGGCAACAGAGCAAAACUCUGUCAAAAAAUAAAAAUAAAAAAGACAGAAAAGAAAGAAAGAAAAUAAAUGCCUGCAAAGUCAGAGACCUAAGUCCUUUAUUUCUAUCUAUCAUAAAAUCUUUAAGACAUUUUCUACAAGACCUAGUGACUGAAAACUUCUCAAAGGAAAAAAUUUCUCAUGAGGGAAAUGGAAAAUUGUGGUAAUGUGCACAGAGAAUCAAUGUAUCACUCAGGAAAACAAUAUGAGCAGAAAUUCCUUGAGGGGACGCCCCGAGCACCACAGCUGGUGUCCUCGUGCUCAAACAGAGGAAGCCCCCUGACACUGCGACGACACUGAAGUCCUUCUCCCAGGGACACAUGCACACGCAAUUCAACACGCAACUGUGGGGGGCUUGCUGCUCCCAGGACCCAGUUAAAACACUCCUACCUCCAAAUCCAGCCGAAGCUAGUUAAGUGCCUCAGGCAGGCACUUAACUCUGCACAAUCUCUGCAGGCACAAUCUCUGCACCUCAAUUCCUCUUCUGUAAAAUGGAGAUGAUGACAAAAGUUUCUUCUUCAUAAAGCUACUGCUGGCCAUCAUCAUUCUAUCAUUACAUAUAAACCCAAGCCAGCAAGGCUGAUAAAUUAUAGAAAACAUUUGGCUUGAACUUGUUCUUAAUUUUUUAAAAAAGAAAAAAACUAUAUAGAAAGAAGAGAGCCCAAUGCUGUCAUCCUUAUCCUAUCUUCUGAAAACGGAUGUAAAAAUCUCAUCAGUAAUCAGGGCACCCAUCAAGUUUCAACCUGAAAAAAGACCAGGAAAAGGCCCCCCACACUGCAGUGCUUACUCCACUCGACAGGAAUCAGAAUCAAAGGCAUAAAUGCUUAAUACUUGAUGGUAACCGCCACCUUCUUUCUACAAAGGACACAAGGACUGCAGGAGCAAAGAGGCUCUCACUGAGGAAGAAGAACAAUCACAAAGGAAGGGCCGGAUGGCCCAUGAUGCUCUUGAAGAUCAAGAAUUCAAGCCAAAAGAAAAAAGCAGGUUAAGUAAGAACUGGAAAUGGAUGUAGCUGGACUUCCAUGUGUGCACAGGCUCUUCAAGUGUGACUGACUUUUUCUGGGUUUGUAUCCUCAUUAGGAUUAGGUAACUGCCAAGGUCCCUUGUAGUGUUAAGAUGUAAUACAUGCUCCAGCCUGGGCAACAUGGUGAGACCCCAUCUCCAGAAAAAAAUACAAAAAUUAGCCAGGCGUGCUGGUGCAUGCCUGUGGUCCCAGCUACUUGGGAGGCAGAGGCGGGAGGAUCACUUAAGCCCACAAGGUCAACGCUGCAGUGAGCAGUGAUUGCACCACUGCACUCCAGCCUGGGCAACAGAGUGAGACCCCGUCUCAAAAAAAGAAAAAAGAUUUAAGAAAUGUUGAAUAAAUGAAUGAAUGAUUUCAUUAAUGAGGCUGCCAUGCAUUCGAAGUAUAACAGAUACAGUGUGACAAUUAAAAUGAGGCAUUUACCUAGCAGUUAGCAGACUUUUUUCCAUUUAAAACUUUCCCUACAGUAUUAUCUUUAAGAUUUCCAACUAUGAACAUUAACUGUAUAGGAUAUAAACACCAACUAUGAAAUACAUAUGGCAGAAGCCAACAUCAGAUUUUAUAUUUCCUAUUCCAAAUAGGAUUAAGCUAAGAUUCUGUAAAACUUCACUGGGAAAAAACUAAACGAGUAAGAAUAUUUUAGAGUAAUAUUUUGGGGAUCCUGAAGCUGUAAGUUGGGCCUGGAUAAUCAGUGGUCAAGACUCAAUGUCUCAGUUUCCAGUGAGUUUUAAAAACGGAUGCGGAAGUGCUGUCCUACAGCAGAGUUUUUAGAAGCAGCCCAGUGAGGAUUAGGAGAGGCUCAGGGGCCCAGGGCUCGCCCUUCAACAAACAGCGCUGCUGACCUCCAGCCCCUCAAAUCCCUACCACCUGCGGCAGCGAUCAAUCAGCAAAGCUGCUCCCACCCGCCAGCCGCUUUGAAGUGCAAACUUCUGAGAGAAACCUGGAGACCACCCCCAAGUGUGACCUGGCUCCUGGUCCUAGUAAGACCAGGGAGGUGGGGGGAAUGGGAUGGAGACGGAGGCACAGCUAGUGACGACAUGGGGUGACGACAUGGGGUGGGGGUCCCAGUGGAGAAGUAUAUUUUACGAUGUUAAUAUAUAUGCUUUAUCAGUAAACCGGGAGAGGUGGCGCGUGCCUGUAAUCUCAGCACUUUGGGAGACUGAGGCAGGAGGAUUGCCUAAGUUCAGGAGUUGGAGACCAGCCUGGGCAACAUGGUGAGAUCCCGUCUCUACAAAAAAUCCAAAAUAAUUUAGCCGGGUGUGGUGGCAGGUGUCUAUGGUCCCAGCCACUCGGGAGGCUGAGGUGGAAGGAUCACUUGAGCCUGGGAGGUUGAGGCUGCAGUGAGCUGAGAUUGUGGCACUGCUGCUCCAGCUCGGGUGACAGUGCGAGACCUUAUCUUGAAUAAAAUAAAAAAUAAAAUAAAAUGAAAUAAAAAUUGUGAUUCCUGAUAAGGGACUGUGGGUGGAACUGUGCCCUGUGCAGAGAGGAAACUCAGCCUUGCUACUAACAGCUCCAUCUGCUGAGACUCCAGAGGAGGUUACUGGCAAGAGAAACUCACGGGCUGGUUGCUUCCCUUGCAAAUAGACCAUAACCCACAGCAGCCAUGAAGGGAGUCAGGGCCAGAGCUGCUGUGGUGCCGCACGCACAGUGUUUCAUGCCGCCUCACCAGUGCUCACAAUGAUCCUGGGAGGGGGGACUAAUACAGUCACCCCCAUUGAGCAGAUGAGCAAAUCACAGUUUAAGAAGUUGUUGCUGACCUAGGUUGCACAGCCCUGCCCACAUUCAAGGCCAAAUCCAUCACACUCUAAAAACUGUGCCCUUUCCGCUAUAGAAAAGGACAAAACUUCUGUGGACAAACAGAAUACCGGGUUCAACAGAUCCUGAGCCUGUACCAAAUGGACAAAUUCUCUGUCAUCACAGGCACAUAACAAUCUCUCUUCCUUAUACUAAUGAGUGCGAUAAAACAUCGUAUAAAACCCAGCAGUGGUUGGCUACGGUGGCACAUGACUGUAGUCCCAGCUACUCGAAAGGCUGAAGCAGGAGGAUCACUUGAGGCCGGGAGUUCAAGGCUGUAGUGAGCUUUGAUUGCACCUAUGAGUAACCACUGCACUCCAGCCUGAGCAACAGCGAGACCCUGUUUCUAAAAAAAAUAAAAAAAUAAAGCAAAUCCAAGGCUGGGCACAGUGGCUCACACUUGUAAUCCCAACACUGUGGGAGGCCAAGGCAGGCAGAUUGCUUGAGCCCCAGAGUUUGAGACUACCCUGGGCAAGAUAGUGAGAACCCAUCUCUAAAGAAUAUAUAAAUUAAUUAAUUUUAAAAGACUCACACAAUCCAGAAGUGAACAUUACUAAGCAUUAAUAUAUUCACAGUUUGCUGCUGCCAGAUGAACUGCAAAAUGAAAACUAUGAAACAACUCCAUUUCUGGCAAAGGUGCCCUGGCCAAUUCUCCCACCGCAAACAGCCACAAAUGCUGACUAAAAAUGAUAAGACAUCUUUUAAAAUGCAUUAAAGAUUGGGAAUGAUAGUAAGAGGAGUUAAAAAUAAAAUAAAAUGUAUCAAAGAACUGAUAGGUCAGUAAGUAAUACUGAGAGGUCAAAACACAUCUAAACAAGGGUUGAAAUCCAGAGAGCAAGUGGAGCUUUGAAACCAGGUUUCAAGAAAAGACAUUUGCAGAACUGGGCAAGCUUGAGCCCCACCCUCCACCCCAUCCCCAGAGGGAGGUCUCACUGAACCUUGGUGGAAAGAAGACAAUACAGAAACUGCCUAUAUCAAAUCUUGGUGCUGAACAGAGGAGGGAAAAAUCUUCCCUGAGAAUGUAUAAUGAUUAGCAGUCCCCCAAAAGGACUACAGCCCAAAUUUACACCUUAUGAAACACAUAUUUCAGGCAGAUGAAAGUGAUCCCAGAAAGAAAAGUAUUAAAUGCAAGAAGGAAGGAAGAACAAUGAAAGUAGUAUAUAUAUAAGUGAGCAAACCUAAACAAAUGCUGAACUAAUGAUGCUCAUAAAAGUUGUAAAAGGACUGGCACAGUGGCUCACACCUCUAAUCCUAGCACUUUGGGAGGCCAAAGCAGGAGGAGUGCUUGAGCCCAGGAGUUCAAGACCAGCCUGUCUUUACCAAAAGAGACCCUGUCUUUACCAAAAAAAAAAAAGUAAAAAGUAAAAAUUAGCAGGGUGUGGUGGCGAGUGCCUGUGAUCCCAGCUACUCGAGAAGCUGAGGCAGGAGGAUUGCAUAAUCCUAGAAGGUCCAGGCUGCAGUAAGCUGCGAUUGUGCCACGGCACUCCAGCCUGGACAACAGCGAGACCCUGUCUCUAGAGAGAAAAAAAAAAAAAGGUUUAAAAAGAACUAAAAUGCACACCCACAGAAUAAAAGUGGAAGAGAAAGUGAUAGCAAUUAAAGUGUUCUCAGGUCCUCACUGUUUGAGAGUAAGGUAUAAAGACACUGACUAAAUUUAGACUUUGAUAAGUUAUGUAAAUUGAAAGCUAUACCACAUUUAUGGAUCAGAUGACUCAACAUCAUAAAAAUGUCAGCUCUACCCAAAUUUAUAUAUUAUAAACUCAAUGCAAAUUCUAAUAAAACAUACCAACAAUUUUUAUGGCAUUUGACAAAUGUAAUCUAACAUGACAAUGGGGCCAGGCAAGAUGGCUCACGCCUGUAAUCCCAACACGUUGGGAGGCUGAGGUGGGAGGAUUGCUUGAGCCCAGGAAUUCAAGACUAGCUUGGGCUACAUGGUGAAACCCUGUCUCUACAAAAAAGACAAAAAUAGCUGAGCGUGGUGGCGUGUGCCUCUAGUCUCAGCUACUUGGGAGGCUGAGGCGGAAGGAUAGCUUAAGCCUGGGAGGUCAAGGCUGUAGUGAGCCAAGAUCACACCACUGCACUACAGCCUGGGUGACAGAGCGAGACCCUGUCUCAGAAAAAAAUAAAAUGAAAAUGGAAGAGCAAUGGGCCAAGGAUUUACUAGACACCAGUUCACCAGUUUUCUAAAAUGAUGUAUUUUACAAGUCAGUGUGGUAUUUAAACAGAGAACAGGCCGGGCACGGUGGCUCACGCCUAUAAUCCCAGCACUUUGGGAGGCCGAGAUGGGUGGAUCAUGAGGUCAGGAGUUCAAGACCAGCCUGGCCAAGAUGCUGAAACCCCGUCUACUAAAAAUAAAAAAAAAUUAGCCAGGCGUGGUGGCACGCAUCUGUAAUCCCAGCUACUCAGGAGGCUGAGGCAGGAGAAUCGCUUGAACCUGGGAGGCGGAGUUUGCAGUGAGCUGAGAUCGCGCCACUGCACUCCAGCCGGGGCAACAGAGUGAGACUCCGUAUCAAAAAAAAAAAAAAAAGAAUUUCUGCUCAUCAAAAACAAAAAACAAUAUCCUACAGUGAAAAGACAAGCCACAAACUGGAAGUAGGUAGUUAUAACACAUAUAACUGACAAAGAAUUAGUAUCCAAAAUAAGAAAUAAAAAACAAAAAACUAACAAAAUGUCUACAAACCACCCAAUAGAAAAAUGAGCAAGACAAUCUGUUGUUUCCGAGAAGAUGAAAUCUGAAUGAUCAGUAAGCAACGAAAAGAUGCCCAACUCAGAACCAGGAAAAUGCAAAUCAAAACCACAUGAGAUGUCAUUGUACGCCCACCAGAUUAGUAAAAAUGUUGAAGUCUGAAAAUACCAUUGUUGAGAGGAUAUGAGGCAAACGGAAUUGUUGAAGGGUAAACUGGGGAAACAGUUUUGGCAACAACUUGGCAUUAUUUGUUAAGUUGAAGACGCACAUACCCUGUGACUCCACUCCCAGCUGCAGUCCCUGGAGAGGCUGUGCAUACAUGUCCCGGGAAUGUGAACAGUGGCACUGUUUGUCUCAGCAAAAUACUGGAAACAACCCAAAUGUCCACCAGUAAUAGAAAGGAUAAAUAAAUUCUCAUACAAUGGAACAUUAUUCAUCUGUGAAAAUGAAAUACCACUCUAUGCAACGUGGAUUAAUGUCAAGGCACUGAAGAAAACAAUAUGAUUAUAUUAAGUUCAAAAACCUGCAGAAUUAAACGGUACAUUGUUUAGCAAUACAAACACAUGGUAAAACUAUAAAGAAAAGCAAGAGUGAUAAAAGCAAAACUCAGGGAUGACUUGGGCCGGGUGAGAUCAGGGAGGGGACACAGGGGACUCCAAAGGUAACAGUAAGUUCUUUUUGGAAACUGGGUAAUGGGUACAUGGAAGAUGUUUCUUGUAUCCUUAUUCUUUACACUGAACACAUUCUUUUGUAUGGAGUCAACAUUUAACAAAAACGAUUUACAAAAUUAAACAAGUUCUUUCUUACUUUAAAUCAUUUGCCAAGCAUUAAUUUGGGCUGCUGACUGAGUCACAGUAACGGGGGAAAAUCCCUGAGGGGCCCACAUGGCCCCGAGACUACAGAAAUGAGAAGUGCUUUGCUCUCUGAGCUCUGGUGAUACAGCUUCCCAUGGGGCAGGCUGGCGAAAUUCGAGUGGAGCCUGCCACUCGGGACAGGAAAGUGACUGCUUAGGUUAAUAAGUUCCAGUAUAGGAAGUGGUGCGGCUGGGGUGGGGAGAACAGAUUCUACUGCCAGACCUUUCAAGACCAGAAGCUGAGUAGAUUUUUGAUGUUACAAUGAACCCACUAAGCCUGCUUUCUGGCCCGCUCUCCACUCGCAGCGGGAAUUCCCACCUCUGAGCCUCUGUCCACACUGCUGUUUAGAUAUGAGUGAACAACUCUCAGUUCUAACCAUGCCCUUUGCUUCCUUCCUUUGAAGCCCAGCCCUACGAACCAUCUCUCUUCAAUUCAUAACAAGCACGUUUGAAUCCAAGAGCCUAAGCCCCAGUUUUCUACACGUAUCUGUGCUGACUGCAUUACUGAGGUCAACCUUAAUCACCCUGGGACUGUCAAACUAUUGAUGUCCAUAAGGAUUCUCUGUGCUGGCAUUCCACACACACGCAGCAAGGUUCAAUGAGCCACAGUACUUACUCUCUGACCUCUAUUAUUUCAACCAUUUAAAAAUUGUGGCCACGGGAGGCUGAGGUGGGAGGAUCGCUUGAGCCCUGGAGGUCGAGGCUGCAGUGAGCUAUAAUCCCAGCACUGCACUCCAACCUGGGCGAAAGAGCGAGACCCUGUCUCAAAAAUUAAAUUAAUUAAUUAAUUAAUUAAAAAACAAAAAAAAAAGCCGUGGCCAGCAAAAGAAGUAGAUUAUGAUCUCCAGGACAAUAUGUUUUGUACAUAAAAUGUAUUUGGAGUUUUUUGUUUUCAUUAAAGUUGAGGUCCCUCCCUACUGUGAUGUCAAACCCAACAAUGGGUCACCCCACAGGACACCACCCCUGCUCGCACCUGUAAUCCCAGUCCUUUGGGAUGGCGCAGGUAGGUGGAUCACUUGAGCCCAGGAGUUCAAGACCAGCCUGGGCAACGUGGCGAAACCCUAUCUCCACAAAAAACAGAAAAAUUAGCUAGGUGUGGUGGUGUGUGCUAGUAGUCCCAGCUACUUGGGGGGCUGAGUCAGGAAGAUCGCUUGAGCCAGGGAGGUCGAGGCUGCAGUGAGCUAUGACAGCUCCACUGCUCUCUAGCCUUGGCCACAGAGCAAGGCCCUAAUUAAAAAAAAAAAGUGUUAUAUGAGGCUGGGUUUGGUGGUUCAAGCCUAUAAUACCAGCACUUUGGAAGGCUGAGAUAGAUGGAUUGCUUGCGCCCAGGAGUUUGGGACCAGCCUGGGCAACACGGCGAGAUUCUGUCUCUACCAAAAAAAAAAAAAGUUUCCUGGGAGGAGAGGGGGGUAACUUACUUUCCACAGGUACACGCUUGAGAACCUUCUGAUUUUUCUACCUUGUGCAUGCAUUCCCAUAGUAAAUGUUGUUUUCUUCCUAAA